UACGUAGGGUGCAAGCGUUAAUCGGAAUACUGGGCGUAAAGCGUGCGCAGGCGGUGAUGUAAGACAGAUGUGAAAUCCCCGGGCUCAACCUGGGAACUGCAUUUGUGACUGCAUCGCUGGAGUACGGCAGAGGGGGAUGGAAUUCCGCGUGUAGCAGUGAAAUGCGUAGAUAUGCGGAGGAACACCGAUGGCGAAGGCAAUCCCCUGGGCCUGUACUGACGCUCCAUGCACGAAAGCGUGGGGAGCAAACAGG
rnacentral:rRNA from 1 species